rnacentral:lncRNA from 1 species
AUGUCUGGAUGGAUCUGUGAGAGCCCAGCGCUCAUACGGUCUGACAACAGCAUCUUCGUCUCUUCGCUACCUACCCACUGUUGUCCUCCUCAUCAUGGCGGUAGAUCACUGCCAACAUGUCUUAAAAAAGUAAGAAGUAAGUGCAGUGAUUGGUUACUGCCUGUUGUUGUUCGACUGCCAACUCUGCGUGCGAGACGAGGCGUAUUCAUUAGUGGAUUCAGUUGCAAAACGUUUUGCAACGAAAACGAGUUUCUAUUGGAUACAUUUAAGCAGGUCCCUCCCCGCUUCGUUCCUGUUCCAUUUUUUCUGUUUGCUUCCGUUUGGUUCCUAGAGCAAACGGUUUCCGUUUUGCAACAGACAACACGUUUUAGAACCAAAUCUGACUAAUGAAUACACCCCAGCUGUGUUGACAACAUUGACCAUCUUCGAACAACGAAGGCGAGUUUCACAAAAUAACACAUUAUUUAGCUUGUUGCAACGAUUAACAAUAUUAUAUUGACAAUGAAUUACCGCCUUUAGUCUUUACAUGUAUUUGAACGUCUUGAUUCAUCUUCAUGGUAUAGUCAGCUGUUGUCGUUGCUAGCUAGCGAUAAUUUCGUAGCUAACGAUGGCUAUCUAGCUACCCAAAUGGUUCUUCCAGCUGCAACUAAUUAUUUUGAUGUUUCCAUCUAGCUUGCUAUCAACUCGAGAAAUGUAGCUAUGUAUGAGGGACCAUCUCUAUUUUGGACCGUUUUCAAGGGCUGUCAAUCUAAAUGUAAAGUGCCGUUUUUUUUUCUUCUAGCAGUGGAACGUCUGUUACGUAACGUAAUUUGUUGCACUGUCAACACAGUUUGAACUUGCAAGGCAUGGUGGCUCGGCGAGAUCUCGAGCUCUCUAACGUAGCUUCAACGAAAACGAAGUAGCUUUGUGGUUCACACCUCCACAUCGGUUAUUAUUAGACAGUUGCUUGCAUUUUCAAGCCUGUAACUGUCCAUGUCAAUAUCGUAUGGUCCAUUCGCGUUGUGGCUGCUAUCUGGCUUGUUAUUUGAUAACCUGAUAAACCUAGCCAGUGGUUUAUCCUGUUGUUUAGUUUGACAUUUUGAGUCAUUACUUCAUUGCUACUCACAUUGUCUAAUUAACUUUAUUCUUAUCACAUAGAAACGUCUGGCCAAGGUGCAUUGGGAAAGGAU